UCUUAUGGAUGAGCAAAGAAAGUGGUUUCUUGAAAUGGAAUCUACUAGUGAAGAUGCUGUGAA
rnacentral:pre_miRNA from 1 species